AUGCUUAACACAUGCAAGUCGAACGGCAGCACGAGGAGCUUGCUCCUUGGUGGCGAGUGGCGGACGGGUGAGUAACGCGUAGGAAUCUACCUUAUAGUGGGGGAUAACCCGAGGAAACUCGGGCUAAUACCGCAUAAUCUCUACGGAGGAAAGCGGGGGCCUUUCGAGCCUCGUGCUAUUAGAUGAGCCUGCGUCAGAUUAGCUUGUUGGUGGGGUAAAGGCCUACCAAGGCGACGAUCUGUAGCUGGUCUGAGAGGAUGAUCAGCCACACUGGGACUGAGACACGGCCCAGACUCCUACGGGAGGCAGCAGUGGGGAAUAUUGGACAAUGGGCGAAAGCCUGAUCCAGCAAUGCCGCGUGUGUGAAGAAGGCCUUCGGGUUGUAAAGCACUUUCAGCGGGGAGGAAAGUGGUAAAGUUAAUACCUUUAUCAUGUGACGUUACCCGCAGAAGAAGCACUGGCUAACUCUGUGCCAGCAGCCGCGGUAAUACAGAGAGUGCAAGCGUUAAUCGGAAUUACUGGGCGUAAAGCGUGCGUGGGCGGUUUAUUAAGUCAGAUGUGAAAGCCCCGGGCUUAACCUGGGAACUGCAUUUGAAACUGGUCAACUAGAGUAUGGUAGAGGAAAGUGGAAUUUCUGGUGUAGCGGUGAAAUGCGUAGAUAUCUGAAGGAACACCAGUGG
rnacentral:rRNA from 1 species